rnacentral:rRNA from 1 species
GAUGAACGCUGGCGGCGUGCCUAACACAUGCAAGUCGAACGGAAGGACAGUAAGAUUUUGCCUUUGCUGUUGGCGGCGGGCGGGUGGGUAACGAGUGGAUCGGAUUCUACUUUGUCUGGGAGGACUACGUAGGAAAGGAGAUGCUAAUAGCGCAUACUUUCUACCGCAUGAAGCAGUAGUGCAUCGCGGCUUUGGUGUCUGUUAUAGAUGGAUCCGCGCUGUAUUAGCUAGUUGGUAAGGUAACGGCCUACCAAGGAUACGAUGCGUAGCCGACCUGAGAGGAUGAUCGGCCACACUGGAACUGAGACACGGUCCAGACUCCUACGGGAGGCAGCAGUAGGGAAUCUUCGGCAAUGGGCGAAAGCCUGACCGAGCAACACCGCGUGAGUGAAGAAGGCCUUCGGGUUGUAAAGCUCUUUUAUUGGGGAAGAACAGAUGUGUGUUAAUCUGCGGAUAUUGUGACGGUACCUAAACAAUAAGCCACGGCUAACUACGUG